UCUCAAGCCACAAAGAGCUCUGAGGAGGCAGAAACCGAAGACCCUAAGCAGCCCUGAUGACUCCACCUAUUACAAUAUGUUGCAUUUGCCCUAUGUAGAUGAAAAGCGAAAACCAAGAAAAGAAGGAUCUUCCAUUGCAGAUGAAUCCCAGCAAGAAAAUGAAAUGGAUGGUAACCCGUACGACUACAGAAAACUGCUUCGGAAAACAUCUCAGCGUGAACGCCUUAUGCAUCAUAUGUAAGAGGGAUUUUUUUUUUCAUAGAAUGAUAUUGCUAAAACAUUGUA